rnacentral:rRNA from 1 species
UGGGGAAUAUCGCACAAUGGAGGAAACUCUGAUGCAGCGACGCCGCGUGAAUGAUGAAGGCCUUCGGGUUGUAAAGUUCUGUCCUUGGGGAAGAUAAUGACGGUACCCAAGGAGGAAGCCCCGGCUAACUACGUGCCAGCAGCCGCGGUAAUACGUAGGGGGCGAGCGUUGUCCGGAAUUAUUGGGCGUAAAGGGUUCGCAGGCGGUCUGAUAAGUCAGAUGUGAAAGGCGUAGGCUUAACCUAUGUAAGCAUUUGAAACUGUCAGACUUGAGUUAAGGAGAGGAAAGUGGAAUUCCUAGUGUAGCGGUGAAAUGCGUAGAUAUUAGGAGGAAUACCAGUGGCGAAGGCGACUUUCUGGACUUAUACUGACGCUGAGGAACGAAAGCGUGGGGAGCAAACAG